rnacentral:rRNA from 1 species
UACGUAGGGGACAAGCGUUGUCCGGAAUCACUGGGCGUAAAGGGCGCGUAGGCGGUUUUAUAAGUCAGAUGUGAAAGGUACCGGCUCAACCGGUGACGUGCAUUUGAAACUGUAAGACUUGAGUACUGGAGAGGCAAGUGGAAUUCCUAGUGUAGCGGUGAAAUGCGUAGAUAUUAGGAGGAACACCGGUGGCGAAGGCGGCUUGCUGGACAGAUACUGACGCUGAGGUGCGAAAGCGUGGGGAGCGAACAGGAUUAGAUACCCCUGUAGU